AGGAUUAACGCUGGCGGCGUGCAUGAAACAUGCAAGUCGAGCGCGGUGUGAUGCGGGGUAACCCAAUUCACAUCUAGCGGCGAACGGGUGAGUAACACGUGAGCAACCUACCUUUGAGUUGGGGAUAGCCCUGGGAAACCAGGAUUAAUACCCGAUGUGGUCACAACAGGACAUCCUGAUGUGAGUAAAGGCGCAAGCCGCUCAAUGACGGGCUCGCGGCCUAUUAGCUUGUUGGUGGGGUAACGGCCUACCAAGGCGAUGAUGGGUAGCUGGUCUGAGAGGACGAUCAGCCACACUGGGACUGAGACACGGCCCAGACUCCUACGGGAGGCAGCAGUUAGGAAUUUUCCGCAAUGGGCGAAAGCCUGACGGAGCAACGCCGCGUGAGUGAUGAAGACCUUAGGGUUGUAAAGCUCUGUCGGAGGGGAAGAACACAAUGACGGUACCCUCCAAGAAACGCCCGGCUAACUACGUGCCAGCAGCCGCGGUAA
rnacentral:rRNA from 1 species